rnacentral:rRNA from 1 species
ACGCGAAGACCUUACCAGGCUUGACAUGCACUGGACAGCGCCAGAGAUGGCGUCUCCCUUCGGGGCCGGUGCACAGGUGCUGCAUGGCUGUCGUCAGCUCGUGCCGUGAGGUGUUGGGUUAAGUCCCGCAACGAGCGCAACCCUUAUCAUUAGUUGCCAACAUUUAAGGUGGGAACUCUAAUGAGACUGCCUGGGUUAACCAGGAGGAAGGUGAGGAUGACGUCAAGUCCGCAUGGCCCUUAUGCCUGGGGCUACACACGUGCUACAAUGGUCGGUACAGAAGGCAGCAGAACCGCGAGGCGAAGCAAAUCCUCCAAAACCGAUCUCAGUUCAGAUUGUAGUCUGCAACUCGACUACAUGAAGACGGAAUUGCUAGUAAUGGCGAGUCAGCAACAUCGCCGUGAAUACGUUCCCGGGUCUUGUACACACCG